rnacentral:rRNA from 1 species
CCUACGGGGGGCAGCAGUGAGGAAUAUUGGUCAAUGGACGAGAGUCUGAACCAGCCAAGUAGCGUGAAGGAUGACUGCCCUAUGGGUUGUAAACUUCUUUUAUAUGGGAAUAAAAUGUUCCACGUGUGGGAUUUUGUAUGUACCAUAUGAAUAAGGAUCGGCUAACUCCGUGCCAGCAGCCGCGGUAAUACGGAGGAUCCGAGCGUUAUCCGGAUUUAUUGGGUGUAAAGGGAGCGUAGGUGGAUUGUUAAGUCAGUUGUGAAAGUUUGCGGCUCAACCGUAAAAUUGCAGUUGAAACUGGCAGUCUUGAGUACAGUAGAGGUGGGCGGAAUUCGUGGUGUAGCGGUGAAAUGCUUAGAUAUCACGAAGAACUCCGAUUGCGAAGGCAGUUCACUGGACUGCAACUGACACUGAGGCUCGAAAGUGUGGGUAUCAAACAGGAUUAGAUACCCUUGUAGUC